AGACUAGAUGUUGGGAGGGAGGCUGCUGAAGGGAGUAAGAAGAGGCAACUGCUAGGGAUAAUGAAGAGAGAGACAAAAACAGAUUAAAGCCGAUAAACUGAGUGCAAAUACCCUCAAAAGAGAAAGAAUCCCACAGUGUUUUGAGCCACUUAGCGUAAGGAAAACAAAAUCACGUGAACCCAAAGCUCUUGAGAAUGUGAGUAUUGUGGGUAGGAGGGUGUCAUCAGAAAACAGUUGAGAAAAGGCCUUUUGUUUUCCCUUGAUGUUUCCAGUAAGGAUGGGGAGCAGAAGCUAAAACCAACCGCUUCACAGUGGAAGCUGCUGUUUUGUGCAAAACUGACCAAAGGUUGGAAACCAGUCAUCAGCGGUGCUUGCAAAUGAAGAGACUUCUGGAUUGGGUGGGACACUUGCUGUGACUUCCAGUGAUGUACCGACCUCCCAGGACUGCUGUGGAGAUCCAGUGAGAUAACGUGUUCGCAGUGUGCAGCGUGGUCCCCAGCACAGAGUCAGUGCUGCGUGAGUGCCAAUCCCUCCCUUUUCUCUGCUCUUCCUGUCCAUCUGUCUCCCUCCACUUUUCCCCUCCUCCCCUCCCCCUCCUCUCCUCCCCCUCCCAUCUUCUCCCUCCCUCGCUGCCCCACCUUCCCUCACAGAACCCAGAGGAUCGCUGGCCCUCCUGCGCAUGGGCAGUCAGUGCCAGCUGGACCCCGAGUUGGAAGCUCCAGCUCCGAGCCAGGAAUCGGCCCCAAAACCUUCUCAGCUCUGUCGCCCGGUAGGCCUUUGGCUCCUGCCCGGGGCCGGGGCCACCGGCUGUGGAAGUGCAACGUGGGGUUUCCCGGGAAAGGGGUCAGGCGACUGCGAGAGGGCGGUCUGCGUGUCACAGCCCCCCAGGGCGCCAGUCAGCCUGUGUUCAGCUGAAUUGCUCUGGCCAGACCCCUCAGCCUGCGCCACCUGCCCCGGGGCCCCGGCCAAACCUGUCCAGGGCCAGGUGUGCACCUGCCGCCUCUCACCCAGCCGGGCACCACUCAGUCCGCGGGUGGCGUCCCCUUCCCCUCUCCCGCCCGCGAGUCCUCUCCUCCCGGGCUUCCUCUCCUCGGCCGCCGGGCAGUCCCCACACCUGGGCGGGCUGUGUCCCGGGCGGGCGUGGUCUGCCGACCCGGAUGGGGGCGGGCGGCUGGGGCUGGGGCUGGACUCCGAGCGGGGCUGCAGCCCGCGUCCCCAACCCCCCGCUUUCCCUGCCCCGCGACCCCGGGGCUGCCCUCCUCUCCCUUUCCCGCUCCCUCAGGACCAGCUCAGUGGCGUGGGCACUGCUCCCCCGGCUGAGAGCCCCCGGCUGUAACGCCCAGCUUCUCCUAGUGGAGUCGGGAAAAGGGAUCCUCAGUGUUGAGCGAGCUUCUAUCUCCUCCCUCAGUGUUUCUGCCGCAGAUACCCAGCUUUCCCUGCACCAUUCAUUGAAUAGACUAUUCUUUCAAUGGAGUGUUGUUGGCACCCUUGUUGAAAACUGACUGUAAAUAUAAGGAGACUGAGGAUUAAGUCUUCUCUCUUUUUGGGGGAGCUCAUUAUCAAUGACUGGAAGUUGUAAGGAAAAAGAUAUUGAUUCAUCCUGAGAAAAUAUUUUUCUGAGAGUCAGCAUUGAAGAGGGUGACCACUGAAGAGGGUGAUCAUUGUUCGAGUGAGACGAGCCCCGUGUUGUACGGAGUCAGCAUCCCAGUCCUGGACACGGUACUGUGCUGCGUGGUGGGUGAGGCAGCGUGGCCACGCAGGGAACGAGGAUGCCGUGCCGUUGGGCUGUGCUCAGGCCUGGCUCGAUGAGUUUCACUGGAGGGAAUUGAUCUUACAGAAGAUGGACUUAACUCAGGCCUCUUCAGAAUGGACAAAUGAACCUGGAGAAAGACAGUCAAAUCUGUGCAGACAUUGAAGUCCACGUGAACGUGCUGUAUCCCUGAGCCAAAGAUUGGACAAGUAGGCAGCACUUCUUGAGGACAGAGGAGUGGUUUUUAAGGUUCUCCAAGAAUGAAUCCCAGGGAACCGGGAUGGCCAGUUGUCAAACUGUGACUUUGCUCUUUGGACGGUGUGCCCACCAAAGGAGAGGAAAACAAGUCUAAACUUACCUUCCAGUUGGAAAUGGAAUGGAGAGUUAACGUUGGAAGCCGGGAGAGUCUGUCCUGUGAUGAAGCGGUCUCCAAGCCACUUCCACUGGGACGUCACGUCACUGUCUGGGCCCCUUUCUCAGCCUGUGCACAGCAUUCCUAGGAGAGAAUUCAGCAGUGCAGCAUCUUCUCCGAGCUCUAUGAGUUGAUCGGCUUCCACUGCAAGUCCAUCUUCUUCAAGUGGGUGGCCCCCGUGCAGCGCAUGGCCCCCGGCAUCCCGGAGCCUGGCGGGAAGGCCUGCUACCGACUCCUUCUGCAGAUGCUUCCUGGCUACAGUCUGUCACUGAUUCUGCAGGACUUCAACAAAGGUUUUGGAACUAAAACAUUGCUUCAGUCCGAUUAACCAUGCCUUGUUUGGGCCCUGCUCUCCUGUCUCAUCAGGGUGAAUUGUGAUUCGUGUAGAGCAGGACACAGCAGACUUUUUUCUGUCAAGGGCUUGGGAGUCAAUAUUUCAGGAUCUGCAAACCUCCUGAUCUCUGGUGCAGCUGCUCAGCUCUGCUGUUCAGACGCCAGAGCAGCCGGACAGUCCACACACCCACAGAGCUUUAUUCACAGCAGUGGCUGGGGCUGGAUUGGGGGUAUGAACUGCAGUUUGUCCCCACAGCCUCCUCACUAUUGACGCCUGUACCUGAGCGUGCAUUUGCGACAAUGGGUGAACCUACACUGACACGUCAUCAUCACCAAGUGCCCAUACUUGACACUAGGAUUUACACUUGGUGGUGGGCACUCUGUGGGUUUGGACAGAUGUACAAUGACACGUUUCUACCAUCACAGCAUCAUACAGAGUAGUCUGUCUUAGUGACCCUAAAAAUGCUCCGUGCUGCACCUCAUUCAUUACUCCUUCCCCUCUAGCCUCUGACAGUAACUGAUCUUUUAGUCUCUGUGGUUUUGCCUUUCCCAGAACACCAUACAGUUGGAAUCAGACAGUUGCGGAACCUUCCCAGAUUGGCUUCUUUCACUUAGUAAUAUGCAUUUAAGGUUCCUCCAUGUCUUUCCAUGCCUUGAUAACUCACUUAAUUUUAACACCAUAAAUAGUCCAUUUUCUGCCUGGACCACAGUUUAUUUAUCCAUUCACCUACUGAAGAACAGCUUAGUUGUUUCUGAGUUCUGGUGAUUAUGAAUAAAGCUGCUAUUAACAUCUGUAUGCAGAUUUGUGUGUGGACGUAAUUUUCCAUUUUGUUCAGUAAACACCAAGGAGAACAGUUGCCAGAUCAUAUGGUAGGAGUACGUUUAGUUUUGUAAAAAAUUGCCAGACCGUCUUCCAAAGUAUCUGGGCCAUUUUUCAUUCCCACAAGCAAUGCAAGAGAAUUCCUGACACUCCACAUCCUCACCAGCAUUUGGUGCUGUCAGUGUUCUGAGUUUUGGCAGUUAUGACUGGUGUGCAGUGAUAUCUAGCUGUUUCAGUCUGCAGCCCCUUGAUGACAGAUGCUGUGGAGCAUGUUUCCAUAGAUUUCUUUGGCAUCUAGUUUCCAUGUUGAGCUGUGUGUUGAGGCAUUUUGCUCAUUUCUUAAGCAGGUUAUUCAUUCUUCUUGUUGAGUUUAAAGAGAUUUUGGUGUAUUCUGGAUAUCAGCCCUUUAUCAAUGUGUCCCUGCCCUUCACCUGCAGCACUGGAGUUGUCCUUUGGGUCUCAGUGGAUUGUCAGCUCUUCAAAGAGGUUCCCUGUCUUCACUCACCUAAAUACUGUCCUUGAAUUUUUCACUUUCAUUGACUCACUUUGUUCUUUUAAAAUAGCAUUUCCCAUAAUUUGUAAGUACAUUAAAAAAAAAAGGCAAUGAUUGAACACUGCCUCCCCCAUCAGGCUGUGUGCCCUGUGAGAGCAGAGACCCUGUCCCCACUCACCAUGUCCCAUGACAGCACAUGUCACAUGUCCAUGUAAAUGUGUGUAACGUGGGGCCAAACCUGAUGAGCAGCUAUGAUGACAUGUGUUGGCUACCAUUCAUUGAAUAGAGUUUGUUUCUUGAUCUUAAUUUUAAAUCACAUGAAUGAAACAUGUUUCUUUUGAAAAAUAAAACAACA